GGGCUGAUAAGCUCAGUGGGUUGAACGUGGUGCUAAUAACACCGAGAUUGCAGGUUCGAUUCCCGUUCGGUCCA
rnacentral:tRNA from 1 species